ACCAAAGAGCUGGCUAGGAAGUGCCAGAUUAUUAGUAACAUUCUUCUUUGUGAGGGAUCCUUACAUUGGAUCUUUCCUGCCACUUGAAGGCAGAUUACCAGUGAUGGUACUUUCACCUUUUACAGUUCCUUCCCUCUGGAAAUUUUAACUGACAUUAGUGAAUGUAGCCUUAUGGAUCACUUGAGAGGUAGGGUGCUGUUAUCCUUGUUUCUCAGAUGGGAAGAAUGGAGACUCUGAGGAAUGAAGUAGCAAGCUUGAGGUUAUGCAUUGGGCAGUGGCAAAACCACAAAUAUGUUGCAGGCUUCUUAGUCCUGAAUUAACAGUGUCUUGCUCCAUAAUAUUGCACUAACAACAGAUCAGACCUUUCUCUGCACAGAAGAUUGCUGUCACUGUAGGGAAGAGGAAUUGUUCCUGCUUAUUCAUUUACACAGAAACUAAUGCAACAGGACCUUGAUGUCGGUUGAGGCUUCAAGGUGUUACUGUAAUACAGGGAAAAAUCCCAGGGGUAUGAACCAGAAAUCAAGGGCUACUCAUGUCAGAUAAAGGAGCCCCUUAAAUUGGCCAUGUGUAACAAGAGCUGUUCGAGUAGGCCUGGUCUUUCCUUCCAAGACUUACUUCCCUUUGUAGCAUGACAGUCCAAAUGUUAAAGAAUAAAGGUGUUUCUUAGAAGCUGACUUGCAAUGUGCUUUAAAAUAAAACUAUCUUAUGCAUGUUUUAAAGAGAAGAGAGCAGAGCAGGGGGUCACUGUGUGCAGGUCUUUACACAAAACAGUUUAUUUCCAUGGGGGUGGUUUAAUUCUCCAAAAUUGCAGCAAAUGAAAAUCAGGCCUGUGACAGUGUCACAGGGGGACACAAACGGAGGCCAUGGAGCACCCUCCUACGGCAGGACCCGAGGCAGGGCUGACCUGCCCAAAGAAAGAAAUGGAAAGCCCUGAAAAGAGGGCACACUUACCACUUUUAGGAGAAACAGAGCCACUCCGAGAAGAGUCACCAGUGCAGUUCAUCAGCCACUUUUAUUGCUGGCUGGGAAUGGCGAACGGUUGAUGAUGUCAUCAAAAACCGCCGCCCGGCUGAUUUAAAAGCCAGUGGCAGGGAAAUGGAAGUGGGGGCAGCAACGCUGGAGUCAGAAGGCGAAGCUGCUACCCGGGCUGCACAUCGGCAGUGUUGGCAGCUCGGCAAGGGGCCAGACAGGGACCCACAGGAGGGGUCCUGGAUCCAUUAAAAGAAGUACCAGACUGGCACAGCAGGGCAGCCGGGCCAAGAAGGAAGGCAUUGAGGGAUCCCAAGGACCACAGAAGCCGGAUCUGUGAGUGGGGCGGGCUGAGGCCUGUACCCUGCCAAUUCCUUCCUUCCUUUUUUUUUUUUCUUCUUUUAUUCGUUAUUUCAGAGGGUGCAUAGAGCCCAGACCAGGGAAGGAAUCUCCAUGUGACCUUGGAUCAAGAGAUGGAGCUGAGGCAACACAAUGGACCACAACGUCUCAGGGGGGGAGUAGAUGCAGUGAUGAGGAUGGUCAUGCACCCCACAGUUAUCCAGGGUAAAGGGGCUUUGAGGGACAGACAAGGAGAGAAGACAGUAGGUGAGAACAUCAAGGGGGACAGGCCAGCAAUCCAUCAUCCAGCUGUCCAGAGGGCUGGAGUAUGGCUGGGGUGUAGGGGAAGUGGAACCCCAAGAAUGCCUGCAAAGGGCAGCACCUGGUCUGUGAGAAUCCUCGAGGAGGAGCCCCACCACUGAAGAAAAGAAGAUCAAGUCGUGACAGGCGAGUGUAGGGGUCCCCCUCGGUGGUGAACAUGACCCAGUGCACAGGUCCUGGGGGCACACCCUGUGGCCAGAACUGGGUGUGUGCUCUAAGGUUGCUAGAAAGCGCCUAUACGAGACUGGAUGGGUGCAGACGGAGUCCUGGGAGCACAAGGAUGGAGAGUGCAUAAUCUCUCUGGGUAACCCAUUCCAGUGUUUUACUACCCUCCUAGUGAGAGUUUUUCCUAAUAUCUAACCUAAACUUCCCUUGCUGCAACUUGAGACCACUGCUCCUUGUUCUGUCAUCUGCCACCACUGAGAACAGUCUAUCUCCACCCUCUUUGGAACCAGCCUUCAGUGGUGGGUCUAGCCUUCAACCCACUGACCAACAAAGUGGAAGCAGUCGCUCCAGGUAUGUAACAGAAAGAUUCCAGACUAGGAACAAUGAAGUGAACCUCAAGGCAUUCUAAUGACCCCAUAUGCCUUAGUUACUGCAUCUGUUUUGACCAGUGAAUUUUACAGAUUAAACUUUUCUCUUAUUUGAGGUGCUUUUGCAAUUACUAUUCAAGAGUUUAUAGCUGUUAGUUUUCAGUCAGAUGAGUGAACCUUUGGUUUGGAAACUGGUCUGUCAGGAGGUGGUCUGGGUCCAGAUCUUGCUCUGGUCAUGCUUCUCCUGUGACCUGGGGCAAGUCAUUGCCUCUAUUUGCCCAUCUGAAAUGGCAGCUACCUCUAAGGAAAUUUGUGAACAUAUGUGAAAGAUCUCACUUGUAUGCUCUCAAAAAACCUAGUGCUCUAGACAGCCUAGAGGGAAAACUCCUGACUCCUUCAAAAGUCACCCUGAAGCUAGUGGUUAAUGUACACACCAAAUUCUGUAGCCAGUAGCACACAAGGGAAUGGUGGAGCCACUGUCACAUCCAGGCACUUUUGACUCCCUGGCCUGAACAACUAGGCAACCAUUCACAGCUGGGGUUGCCUUCUCUGCAAGUCUGGAGCCCUAAUGAGAUGCCUCAGCCACUCUGCCCCUGUGGCGCUCAGACAGCAUGGAACCACAUCUUGAAACCCCAGCAGGGUUGAUUCAGGCUUCUGUUCUGCUGAGGUUGGCAAACAAGGCAGUUUAUCAUGUCCUCAUCUUCAAGGCAAGACCUCCAAAACCUCAGUUGUCUGUUUUUCACAGGUGCCUAAGAACCUAUGGAAAGCUUUUUGGAAGAGGAGGGGUUUGCCCCAGUGGCCUGAGACCAGCUUUCUCCUUAUCCCCUACUGUUGUGCAAUGUGCAGACUGCUCAGCUGUUGUUCACCCCUGGAGAGCUCCAGUAAUCUGAAGUGAACCUCGUGCUUGACUCUACCUGACCUGGAAGGGCAUGUUUUAUCAAGCUCACAGCUGGGCAAGCACAGUCCACUGUCCUGUUUGGGAUCCUCUGCAGUGCAUACGCUAGAAUGGAGAGAUUUACAUUUUCAAAUGUGCUUGGCCCUAAACAGAAGCCCCACAUACCUUCCCCUCCUGGCUUCCCAGUGGACCAGCCCAAAUCAUCCAAGCUCAAGAAAGGAGCAAGAAAAUGUUGGGGAAUGGGUGUGAACCCAUAUAUCUUUGUCAGUGGUGAUGCGCUGUUCAAUGAUAGCCACAAUUCAGAAACAUGAAAUAGCUCCUGCCUCUCUUCGAGUCAGUUGGAUUUGCCUCUGUCACAAGAACUGAUGUAGUGGACAGCUGCUUCCGCCUCUUUCACUUUUUAAGUCUUGUUCAUAUCUACAGGUCAACAUGUAACUUUCAGCCACUAGCACCUUUCUUUUGAAUUUGGCUUUUAGAGGCCAAGGGAAGCCUUAUUGUAACCCACACCAUGGAGGUCCACAGCAGCCUAACAGGAUAGGUAACUAAACAGAAAACAUAAGAAAGUGACCAAGUAUGUCACCCCCUACUUUAAAUAGGCAUCAUUUCCAGGUUGCAGGAACUAGAGGAGGUUGUAAUUGAAUCUCCCUUUUGAGUCCAGCUCAAUUAUACUAAUUUACUGUGCGUAAGUUCAAUGACUGUAUGUGUCCCCUCUGGAUUUGUUCUGCAGCAUCUGUAUCUGUGUAAGGAUAAACUUUAAUCUCCCCAUGCUAGUUUGCACUUUGUGCUUUGAAAGUUUCCUGUAAAAUGUAAUAUUAAAACCAUGUUUACUCAAAUAUAAGAUGACUCUAAUAAUUAGAUUCUGUAUAUGGAAAAUCUAUAAAUUUGUUACAAUUU